AGGCUACUGCUAUUGGAAUUCGACUAAGCCAUGCGAGUCAAGGUGUCUUCGGACGCCGGCAAACGGCUCAGUAACACGUAGGUAAUCUACCCUCAGGACUGAGAUAACCCCGGGAAACUGGGGCUAAUACCAGAUAGAUAAAAGAUACUGGAAUGUUCUUUUAUCCAAAGCUUUUGUGCCUGAGGAUGAGCCUGCGCCCGACUAGGUAGUUGGUGGGGUAAUGGCCCACCAAGCCUGCGAUCGGUACGGGCAGUGGGAGCUGUAGCCCGGAGUUGGGGACUGAGACAAGGCCCCAGGCCCUACGGGGCGCAGCAGGCGCGAAACCUCUGCAAUGCGGGAAACCGUGACAGGGGGAUUCCAAGUGCUCAUGCAUUGCAUGGGCUGUUCUUUGGUCUAAGUAACCAGAGGAGUAAGGGCUGGGCAAGACCGGUGCCAGCCGCCGCGGUAAUACCGGCAGCUCGAGUGGUAGCCGCGAUUAUUGGGCCUAAAACGUUCGUAGCCGGAUAAGUAAGUCUUUGGUUAAAUCCUACGACUUAACCGUGGGAAAUCUAGAGAUACUGCUUGUCUUGAGACCGGGAGAGGUUGGAGGUACUCCCAGGGUAGGGGUGAAAUCCUGUAAUCCUGGGGGGACCACCUGUGGCGAAGGCGUCUCACCAGAACGGACCUGACGGCAAGGGACGAGAGCUAGGGGCACGAACCGGAUUAGAUACCCGGGUAGUCCUAGCCGUAAACGAUACUCGCUAGGUGUCGGCCACGGUGCGACCGUUGUCGGUGCCGUAGGGAAGCCGUGAAGCGAGCCACCUGGGAAGUACGGCCGCAAGGCUGAAACUUAAAGGAAUUGGCGGGGGAGCACCACAACGGGUGGAGCUUGCGGUUUAAUUGGAUUCAACGCCGGAAAUCUUACCGGGACCGACAGCAACAUGAAGGCCAGGCUGAAGACUUUGCCGGAUNNNNNGAGAGGUGGUGCAUGGCCGUCGUCAGUUCGUACUGUGAAGCAUCCUGUUAAGUCAGGCANNNAGCGAGACCCACGCCCACAGUUGCCAGCGUACUCUCCGGAGUGACGGGUACACUGUGGGGACCGCCGCUGCUAAAGCGGAGGAAGGAAUGGGCAACGGUAGGUCAGUAUGCCCCGAAUAUCCCGGGCUACACGCGAGCUACAAUGGUUGGUACAAUGGGUAUCUACCCCGAAAGGGGAUGGAAAUCUCCUAAAGCCAAUCUUAGUUCGGAUUGAGGGCUGCAACUCGCCCUCAUGAAGCUGGAAUCCGUAGUAAUCGCGUUUCAACAGAACGCGGUGAAUACGUCCCUGCUCCU
rnacentral:rRNA from 1 species